GAAAUAUUUUGUGAAUGCAAUCAACUACUGCAAAACACAUACACUAUAGCCACCUCAAUAGAUGAGCAGAUCAUUUGUCUGCAGGUUUCCUCUUCAAUUUAUUGUAGAGAAAUGAUUUCUAAAGAAGAUGAAGAUGCAUGAAUGCUGAUUAUUUUUCAGAUUUCAAUUUUGCAGUUCUAAAUCCUACAUUUGGCUGUUACACUUGAUUCUUGCAGCAGCUAAUUGGGGUUUACUUCAGAUCAGUUGGCAAUUGGUGUUUGCAUAUGAUCUAUUUAUCACUACAAAUCAAAUAUAUUUACAAUCCUUUGAAGGCAUAUUUCUGUAUAAAUAAUCAAUAUAGUAUUGCAAUAGUAGAAUCCAAAUUGUGGGAUGAAGAAAGAUGCAAAUAAACUCAGCACCACAACUCUCUGUCUUUGGCUGAGAAUAUCCACCCUUGGCCAACAUUGCUUAUUUCCUUGAAAUCAAGAGUCCACUUCUCAAAUGUACAAUUCAAGAAAUCAUAGUAUCCUCCAUGAACAGAAAGCAUCUCUUUCCUCACCUUCUCUUCAAUCCAUGGAUAUGUUAGCAAGUUCAGCAACGAACAGUUGAUAGAUUCCUGCAAUAAUUUGAAUUAGAUUCUCACUUCAAUAGCAGCUGAGUCGCAGGAUGUUCUCAUCUAUCAAAUUUUAGCCGACUCCACGAGAAACACAAAGAUCUUAAGAGUCAUUAAAUAUCUGUUCACCAUUCCCUUCCUUCUCUUCCUUUAACAUCUAGUCAAAGUGAUCAAGUAUGCUCCUCCUAACUAUUUUUCAGAGGACCUAGCUAGAAUUGCAAUUUUUUUCGCCAGUAAAUAUUAAAUAAUGUCGUAUCACGAAUUGUGGAUAAAUAGAACACACCUUCUCACAGUUUUUGCAUUGUUGGUCAAAGCUAAGGCCACUUGCAUCAGCUUUUGUUCUUAACUUGGCAGCCUUUGCAGUAGCAACCCAUUUCUCAACAAAGCUACGAGACAAAAAAAAUUCAGAAUGACGAGAAAGUUGAAAGAAACCCCACCAGGUAUGUUGAGAAAAAUUGUUAAAAGUUCGUAACCAACAAGAGGGGGAAAAGAACAAGAGAAAAUUUAAACCUAUGAGAACUUUCAUCUUGCAUACUCAUGAGAGCUUGAAUUCCCGCACAGUUACUAUGGCCAAUGACAAAUAUAUUUUCAACCUACAAGGAUUAACAACCAUAUUUUAUGCUCAAAUACAAGUCAUUAGUUAUGCAUAGUAGAAGGAAUUAUAUGAAGACUUUCAAUGGAAAAACCUAAGCCACAAAAAUUUUCUAUAUGAGAGGGCUGUAAUGACAGAUACAGCGGAGGCAUCACUUGCAACAGCAUAAUAUAUGGCGUCAAGAGCACAAAUUUUGCAUCUUCCAAGAACAAAAAGUUAUGGAUGUGUAGGAAAAGAAAACCACUUACUUCAAGAGUAUUUACAGCAAACUCAAGGGCAGCAUUAGUUUCUGUUGGUCCAUUCUCAAGUGGGGGGACAAUAUUUGCAACAUUUCGAACCAUAAAAGCUUCUCCAGGUUUAAAUCCAACGACAUUAGAAGGGCAAACCCUUGAGUCUUCGGUGACUGCACCUCAGCAAGAGUUUGAAAAUGCUCCACUUCUUCUCUGUUAAAAAUCAUGUGCCACUAAGAAAACAAAAAUGCUAACAGAAUUCUUUAAAAUGAUGUAAAUCCUUCAUUUGAUUGUAUACACCACUUACAAAUAUUUGUGCUUCUUGAAAUUCAGAAAUCUCCGUUUCAUCUCAUCAAAUGAGGUCAGCCCACCAUCAGUUUUGGGCACAUUCUGUACUUUAACACUUGUAAGUUGUUGAACAGGUCCGAGGGAAUUAAUUGAAGCAUCUGAUCUCAAAAAUGGCACCUCUUUAUAUGAAGAGGGUAAUCCUAAUCGAUCAGUAUCUUCACCUUUCGCCUGCAGCUUUUCUGAACUAGAAAUAGAACAAUUUCUGGGGAAACCAACCAAGGAAUUGGUAAAACCAGAAAAGGGCAAACAGACAUGAAAGCCUAAUGUUGUAAUAAUCGAACGAGUUCUUAUUCGGCAUUGCCAGACCAUCUCUGCGCUGGUUGUACCAUUCGGAGAGCUUCAGCUGGGCUUCUUAAUUCUUGUCAUUUUAGCUUGCGUAACGUGCUUGCUUUGCCUAAAAAAUGUUAGAGGGAAAGCUUAUCCAUUUGCCAAAUGUUUAUAUGGCUAUGGCUUAUCCUAUUCCCAUCUUUAUGGGAUUGGGACAUGCAGAAGUCUACUAGUCUGCUUUUCUGCCCUUUUAAAGGGAGGAAGCAUGGGAAUACUGGAAAGCAAAGCAAAGCAAAGGAAAGCAUGUGGGUUCCUCCCU
rnacentral:misc_RNA from 1 species